rnacentral:rRNA from 1 species
CGGCGAGUGAAGCGGCAACAGCUCAAAUUUGAAAUCUGGCCUUCGGGUCCGAGUUGUAAUUUGUAGAGGAUGCUUUUGGCGCGGUGCCUUCCGAGUUCCCUGGAACGGGACGCCUUAGAGGGUGAGAGCCCCGUACGGUUGGACACCAAGCCUCUGUAAAGCUCCUUCGACGAGUCGAGUAGUUUGGGAAUGCUGCUCUAAAUGGGAGGUAAAUUUCUUCUAAAGCUAAAUACCGGCCAGAGACCGAUAGCGCACAAGUAGAGUGAUCGAAAGAUGAAAAGCACUUUGAAAAGAGGGUUAAAUAGCACGUGAAAUUGUUGAAAGGGAAGCGUUUACGGCCAGACCUUUUCCUGGCGGAUCAUCUGGUGUUCUCACCAGUGCACUCCGCCAGGUUUAGGCCAGCAUCGGCUCCCGUAGGGGGAUAAAAGCAGUGGGAAAGUAGCUCCCUCGGGAGUGUUAUAGCCCGCUGCACAAUACCCUUACAGGGGCCGAGGACCGCGCUCUUGCAAGGAUGCUGGCGUAAUGGUCGUCAACGACCCGUCUUGAAACACGGACCAAGGAGUCGAACAUUUGUG